UACGUAGGGAGCAAGCGUUGUCCGGAAUCAUUGGGCGUAAAGCGCGCGUAGGCGGCCCCGUAAGUCCGCUGUGAAAGUCAAAGGCUCAACCUUUGAAAGCCGGUGGAAACUGUGGGGCUAGAGUCCGGAAGAGGCGAGUGGAAUUCAUGGUGUAGCGGUGGAAUGCGCAGAUAUCAGGAGGAACACCAAUAGCGAAGGCAGCUCGCUGGGACGGUGCUGACGCUAAGGCGCGAAAGCGUGGGGAGCGAACAGG
rnacentral:rRNA from 1 species